UACGGAGGGGGCGAGCGUUGUCCGAAGUUACUGGGCGUAAAGCGCGCGUAGGCGGGUUGGCAAGUCCGCUGUGAAAGCCCGAGGCUUAACCUCGGCGGGUCGGUGGAUACUGCCAGUCUUGAAGGUGCUAGGGGGAAAUGGAAUUACCGGUGUAGCGGUGAAAUGCGUAGAUAUCGGUAGGAACACCAGUGGCGAAGGCGGCAUCCUGGACCGACAUUGACGCUGAGGAGCGAAAGCUAGGGGAGCAAACGGG
rnacentral:rRNA from 1 species